GAUACUAACUAGGCACUAAAUCAAUUGGUGCUUUCUCCGACGGUCUGCUUGCAAACCGGUGCCAGACCCACUGGUCCUUUGUGUACUGCCCGCCCUGCAUGUGUCUGGGCUCCCCUGGCCAGUCCGUUUUUUUUGUCUCUGAUGGUUAAUAAGCUUUGAGCCUAGUAGUCAAAUGUGGUGGGAACGGGGACAAGACGAGGGUCCUUACUGAAGGUGUUUGUUGUUAAAUAGAACAAUUCAGCUGUCUCUUUAGAAAACUUGACAAAAGGAAAUGCUCCCUGCUGAGAAUUUUCUUAGCCUGUUGCACAAAAGAUGAAGUUUGUUUAAGAAAUUGCUGCUAAAGAAAGCGUCAACCCAUUAAGUUUUCUUUGACAUCAUGGCCGUGGGACUGCAAUGAUUUCAUUUGAAGGAACACUGUGGACAUUUGAUUUUCUUGAAUCUCCUGAGCUGAGCACGUCCUAGGCAUCUAUUUCUGUGCUGUCUUCUAUUCUGCUAGUCUGUAUGUCUACCUCAUACAUGGUUGACUCCCGUGGCCCACAGGGGAUCCUUGAAAUGGAGCAAUGGAUUCUGACAUUUUUUCUUCUUUUCAAAGCAAGGAAGCUUCAUUUAUAUCAUCCAAACUCUUGGUGUAUUUUGGUAAGAAUUUGAAUAAAACUAUAUAUCAGUUUUGGAGAGAAUGGACAUCUUUGCUAUUUUGAACUUUGAAAGACACAAACACAAUAUGUUUCUCUGUUUAUAAAAUCUUCAUU